GAUGAACGCUGGCGGCGUGCCUAAUACAUGCAAGUCGAGCGAACAGACGAGGAGCUUGCUCCUCUGACGUUAGCGGCGGACGGGUGAGUAACACGUGGAUAACCUACCUAUAAGACUGGGAUAACUUCGGGAAACCGGAGCUAAUACCGGAUAAUAUAUUGAACCGCAUGGUUCAAUAGUGAAAGACGGUUUUGCUGUCACUUAUAGAUGGACCCGCGCCGCAUUAGCUAGUUGGUAAGGUAACGGCUUACCAAGGCAACGAUGCGUAGCCGACCUGAGAGGGUGAUCGGCCAGACUGGAACUGAGACACGUUCCAGACUCCUACGGGAGGCAGCAGUAGGGAAUCUUCCGCAAUGGGCGAAAGCCUGACAGAGCAACGCCGCGUGAGUGAUGAAGGUCUUCGGAUCGUAAAACUCUGUUAUUAGGGAAGAACAAAUGUGUAAGUAACUGUGCACGUCUUGACGGUACCUAAUCAGAAAGCCACGGCUAACUACGUG
rnacentral:rRNA from 1 species